GGGGGAGUAUGGUCGCAAGGUUGACACUUACAGGUAUUGACUAAAGGGCACCACCAAGAAUGGAGCCUACAUCUUAAUUUGACUCAACCCGGGGAAACUUACCAGGUCCAGACAUAGUAAGGAUUGAUAGACUAAGAGCUCUUUCUUGAUUCUAUGGGUGGUGGUGCAUGGUCGUUCUUAGUUGGUGGAGCAAUUUGUCUAGUUAAUUUUUUUAAUGAAUGAGACCUCAGCCUGCUAACUAACUAUGUGGAGGUAACCUUCCACAACCAGCUUCUUAGAGGAACUAUGGACGCAUAGGCCAUAGAAGUUUGAGGCAAUAAUAGGUCUGUGAUGCCCUUAGAUGUUUUGGGUCGCACACACGCUAAACUGAUGUAUUCAACGUGUCAAUAGCCUUGGCCGACAAGCCCGAUAAAUCUUUGAAAUUUCAUUAUGAUGGGAUAGAUCAUUGCAAUUGUUGGUCUUCAACAACGAAUUCCUAGUAAGCGCGAGUCAUCAGCUCGCGUUGACUACGUCCCUUACCUUUGUACACACCGCCCGUCGCUCCUACCGAUUGAAUGGUCUGGUGAAGUGUUCGAAUUUAAGGGAUGUGGACGGUUCGCUGUUGGCGACGUUGUGAGAAGUCCUCUGAACCUUAUCAUUUAGAGGAAGGAGAAGUCGUAACAAGGUUUCUGUAGGUGAACCUGCGGAAG
rnacentral:rRNA from 1 species